UUGCAGGUAAUGAAGGGGCCCGUGAUGGGUGUAUGCACACACGACUAUGCAGCAGAGCACACUUCAGAAUUGGAAAUCAGCACACGGACCGACUACAAAAUGGCGAGAACGUGCUGGGGCGAGCGGAGACUUGCACGCAAAACGAUGGAGCAAAUGUUGUAGUAGGGCGCCGCAAUGGGUUUGAAGAUGCUGAAAACUCCACAGUUCACUUUGAGGUUUUUUGAGAGUGCCAAGGCGAAAUUUAAUAAAGGUUAAGGAACGAAGCAGCGGUUGUCAGAUCACAGCUGACGACGGCAGCGCUCUCUCGCGUCGCCGACGUCGACGCAGGCAGCGAUAACAGC